CGUAGUGGCUAUUUGAAUCGACAUAUGCUUUUUGUGAUUGCUGUUUGGAAUCAAACUUGUGCAUUCAUUUUAUAAUUAUUUAGAAUGGACAUUUUUUAAUUUUUUUUUGUAACUGAUGUUAAACAUCGGACUUGUGGUUUUUUUUUGUUUUUUUUUUCAGAAUCAACGUGUUUUGUAUAGUUGCUGUUUGAAUAGAAAUUCGCUUUUUUUGUGAUGGCUGUUUGGAAUGAAAUUGUGCUUUUUUGUUAUGGCUGACUGGAAUCGGACUUGUGUGAUUAUGUUUUCGAUUUUCAGAAUUGGACUUGUGCCUUUUUAUGAUCAGUAAUAGAAAUCCGACUUGCGCGUUUUUUUUUGGUGGUUAUUAAAAUUUUUGUGAUGGUUGUUUUUAAUCAUACUUCUGCUUUUUUGUGUGGGCUGUUUGAAAAAGACUUGUGUUUUUCUGUGAUGGAUAUUCACAUUCCGAGUUGUGCAUUUACUUUGUGUUUUUUUAGAAUGGCAUUUUUAUUUGUUUAUUUUAUGUGACGGCUGUUAGAAGUCUGACUUUGCCUCCUUUUUAUGAUCGGUGUGGAGUUCGAAACUGGUGGGUUUUUUUUGUGAUCAAUGUUCGGCAUAAGACUUGUUUUUUUUUUUUAAUCAACUGCUUUUUUUAGUAGUGACUGAUUGAAUUGACAUUUGGGUCUUUAUUGAUGGCAGUUUGGACAUGUGUUUUUUUAAUUGAUGUUCUUUAUCAGAUUUGUUUGUUUUUCUUUUAUCAAUGUUUUAAAUUGGACUUGUGCGUUUUUGUGAUCAAUGUUCUGCAUUAGACUUGUGUGCUUUUUUUUUGUGAUGGCUUUUUAUGAGCUCUGUUUGAAAUUAGACUUGUGUGUUUUUUGUGAUCAUUGUUCAGUAUCGGAUUUUUUUUUUUUUUAAAGAAUCAUGUGCUUUUUUUUAGUAGCGAAAGAAUUGACAUUUUCUUCUUUGGAGAUGGCUGUUUAGAAUCAAACAUGUGUAUAUUACUUAAGCUCUUCAUUGGAUUUGUGUGUUUUUAUGAUCAAUGUCUGAUAUUGUGUUUUUCAUAGUGGUUGUUUAAAUUAGUUGCUUUUUUUUGUGAUGGCUGUUUGGAAUCAGACUUUUGCAUUUUUUUGUUUGUUUGUUUGUUGUUAUUUAGAAUUGACUUGAUUAUUUUUUGGCAGUUUAUAUUUGGAAUCUACUUGAUAACUUUUCUUUAUGACUGCUUGGAAUCGACUUUUGUGUUAUUUGUAGUGGCUGUCUGGAAUUAUGUUGUAUUAUUUUGUUAUGGCCUUUCAGAAUCAAACUUAUAUUUUAUUUUUUUUGGUUAUAUAGAUUUGAUUUUUUUUUUUUUUGCUUUAGCUAUUAUAAUCCAAAUUUGCUUUUUUUUGUGAUGACUUUUCAUAUUGACACUGGUUGAAUAAAAAUUUAAUUAUUUUUUAUUUCACAUGAUGCAAGUUUACCUUUUGUUUUGCAGUAAUUAGAUUCAUUGUGAAGAUGUGUGCACUGGGCUGGAACAUUUCCAGAGAAAGCUGGACUAGCCAUGCAUCAGCAUACUAGCCAAGAUUGAUACCUCUCCACAAAUCAACAAAGACAUCAAUGAAGCUUUGUUAAAGCUAGUGACAAUUUACAUGUUUUCUUAUGUGGCUUAAUUAUAAUAAUGUCAAGAAAGCUAAUUAAAUAAGAACUAUACAUUU